rnacentral:rRNA from 1 species
GAUGAACGCUGGCGGCGUGCCUAAUACAUGCAAGUCGAGCGAAGCGGGCACGGGUGAGUAAAACGUGGAUAACCUCCUAUAAGACUGGGAUAACCUCGGGAAACCGGAGCUAAAACGGAUACUUAUAGCAGAUUCCGGGCUGCUUUUGCUAGUUGGUAAGGUAACGGCUUACCAAGGCACCGAUGCAUAGCCGACCUGAGAGAGUGAACGGCCACACUGGAACUGAGACACGGUCCAGACUCCUACGGGAGGCAGCAGGAGGGAAUCUUCCGCAAUGGGCGAAAGCCUUACGGAGCAAUGCCGCGUGAGUGAUGAAGGUCUUCGGAUCGUAAAACUCUGUCAUUAGGGAAGCGGUACCUAGUCAGAAAGCCACGGCUAACUACGUGCCAGCAGCCGCGGUAAUUC